GCGCCGCUGCAGAGUUUGAUCCUGGCUCAGAUUGAACGCUGGCGGCAGGCUUAACACAUGCAAGUCGAGCGGAAACGAUGAUAGCUUGCUAUCAGGCGUCGAGCGGCGGACGGGUGAGUAAUACUUAGGAAUCUACCUAGUAGUGGGGGAUAGCUCGGGGAAACUCGAAUUAAUACCACAUACGACCUACGGGAGAAAGGGGGCAACUUGUUGCUCUCGCUAUUAGAUGAGCCUAAGUCGGAUUAGCUAGAUGGUGGGGUAAAGGCCUACCAUGGCGACGAUCUGUAGCUGGUCUGAGAGGAUGAUCAGCCACACCGGGACUGAGACACGGCCCGGACUCCUACGGGAGGCAGCAGUGGGGAAUAUUGGACAAUGGGGGCAACCCUGAUCCAGCCAUGCCGCGUGUGUGAAGAAGGCCUUUUGGUUGUAAAGCACUUUAAGCAGUGAAGAAGACUCCAUGGUUAAUACCCAUGGACGAUGACAUUAGCUGCAGAAUAAGCACCGGCUAACUCUGUGCCAGCAGCCGCGGUAAUACAGAGGGUGCAAGCGUUAAUCGGAAUUACUGGGCGUAAAGCGAGCGUAGGUGGCUUGAUAAGUCAGAUGUGAAAUCCCCGGGCUUAACCUGGGAACUGCAUCUGAUACUGUUAGGCUAGAAUAGGUGAGAGGAAGGUAGAAUUCCAGGUGUAGCGGUGAAAUGCGUAGAGAUCUGGAGGAAUACCGAUGGCGAAGGCAGCCUUCUGGCAUCAUAUUGACACUGAGGUUCGAAAGCGUGGGUAGCAAACAGGAUUAGAUACCCUGGUAGUCCACGCCGUAAACGAUGUCUACUAGUCGUUGGGUCCCUUGAGGACUUAGUGACGCAGCUAACGCAAUAAGUAGACCGCCUGGGGAGUACGGCCGCAAGGUUAAAACUCAAAUGAAUUGACGGGGGCCCGCACAAGCGGUGGAGCAUGUGGUUUAAUUCGAUGCAACGCGAAGAACCUUACCUGGUCUUGACAUAUCUAGAAUCCUGCAGAGAUGCGGGAGUGCCUUCG
rnacentral:rRNA from 1 species